rnacentral:lncRNA from 1 species
AUGCAACUGGUUAAUUUGUAUUAUGCCGUUUUGUUCCUUUCUCGGUCGACAAAGGCCCUUUUCUCUACCGACAGCGCUGCCCAAACACUAUGUUCUGUGUCUGCGCUAAUACUGCAGCCUCAAGCCACAGAAGUGCUCCAGGAGCGAGGAAAGGAUUGGAGUGGAGGAGGGGUGCUGUGGCAAGCAGAUGGACUGCCAGGAAGUAAACUGGGCUUAUUUACCAUUUCUCCAUGGCUGGUGGAUGAGAUAAAUGAGAGGCAUCAUGGUUCGGAACCGCCACCUCGCAACCCCUCCACGCACCCCGCCCCCCCAGGUUCAGGACAGUCUGCUGGAGAGAAGAGUUUCUAAGGUGGCCCUGUCAGCCGAGGUGUAACUGAACCCACGCGGUGACCGUGAUGAUGACGAGGAGGAUGACAUGAUGAUGGCAAGUGAAGAUCUCUUACAUGCCUGCCACGUGCCAGGUGCUGUUAAGACUUUCACAUCCACAGACGCACUCACUCCUCCUGUCGUCUCCAUGGUGGGCACUAUAAUUACUUGGAAACAAAGAAACCAGGGCUUAGAGAGUUUAAAAAAAAAC